GGAGGGGUGCAAGCGUUAAUCGGAAUUACUGGGCGUAAAGCGCGCGUAGGGUGGUUAUUUAAGUUGACUGUGAAAUCCCCGGGGCUUAACCUGGGCAUGUCAGGCAAUACUGAAUAACUAGAGUAUAGUAGAGGGUAGUGGAAUUUCCGGUGUAGCGGUGAAAUGCGUAGAUAUCGGAAGGAACAUCAGUGGCGAAGGCGACUACCUGGACUAAUACUGACACUGAGGUGCGAAAGCGUGGGUAGCAAACAGGAUUAGAUACCCUGGUAGUCCACGCCGUAAACGAUGUCAACUAGCUGUUGGUUCACUACGGUGAAUUAGUGACGUAGCUAACGCGCUAAGUUGACCGCCUGGGGAGUACGGUCGCAAGAUUA
rnacentral:rRNA from 1 species